GUACAACCUAUCCUAACUAACUGCACUGAUUUAAAAAAGAGAUAAUUGCCUAAAUACUCUUCAUACGUUUGAAAAUAUCCGAUUUAUUCAUACUUUUUUUUUUUUUCUUUCUAAAAUACCUCUCAUAUGUUUCACCGUUAUUGCAAAAUACUCCCGCAGUUAUCUCAUGUUAAGUUAACUUGGGUUAAACGUGAGUUAAAUAUCUACCACAGUUAAAAAAAAUUAACAUGCCAACUUUGCCCUUAACCUAAGAGCAAAUAAAAAAUGUUGGUGACGGUAGAUGGAUAUGUUGAAAAAGACCAAAAGUUAAAAUACUUUUUGUGCUCAUGACUUUAAGGACAAAUAAGAAAGCCAGCAAUGGUGGAAGGGUAUAUUUAAAAGGAUAAAAUAGUAAUUUUACCGAGAUAACAGAGUUAAUUAACAGAUUUUUAACUUUAGGGGUAUAUUGAAAAUAGGUUGGAACGUAGAAAGGGUAUUUUUAAUAUUAACCUUUUAAGAAGGGUAAAUCGGAAAGUCGAAAAUUUUUCAGAGGUAUAUAAACAAUUGCCCCUUUAAAAAAAUAUGAUUAAUUUUAUACAACUUUCUAUAAAUAUAUGGAAUAAUAAAUCUAUCUAUAUAAAGUUCAACUUUUUAUAUUUAUUCAUAUAAAAGUUUAAUGAUAUUUAUAUUUGUCCCUCUAAUUUGUUACUGUUAGAGUAUUAUUUACUUUUUAAUAGAAGAUAAAUGAAAUAAUAUUUUUAUCAUCACAAAUAUAUCUCUUCAAAAAAUUCAAUUUUUAGAAUUAUGUAAAAAUAUCCUUCCGAAGAUUCUCAACGAUCAUCUUCUUUCUUUCUACCAUCACAAAUAAUAUAAGAGGGAUAAAGAGAUCGAUUUAUCUUAUUCACUAAUCAGAAUUCAAUAUUUUAUCUAUGGUUAACUAUAUUUUGAAAUUAAUCCUAAAAAAUAAUAAAAGUGAGG
rnacentral:lncRNA from 1 species